rnacentral:misc_RNA from 1 species
GAUGAAGAACGUAGCGAAAUGCGAUAAGUAAUGUGAAUUGCAGAAUUCAGUGAAUCAUCGAAUCUUUGAACGCACAUUGCGCCCGCCAGUAUUCUGGCGGGCAUGCCUGUUCGAGCGUCAUUACAACCCUCAGGCCCCCGGGCCUGGCGUUGGGGAUCGGCGGAGCCCCCCGUGGGCACACGCCGUCCCCCAAAUACAGUGGCGGUCCCGCCGCAGCUUCCAUCGCGUAGUAGCUAACACCUCGCGACUGGAGAGCGGCCCGGCCACGCCGUAAAACACCCAACUCUUCUGAAGUUGACCUCGAAUCAGGUAGGAAUACCCGCUGAACUUAAGCAUAUCAAUAAGCGGAGGA